CCGCGCGUGACCUCGCACGAAAACGAGACCGCCGUUGGGUCACUCCCGGUCAGGUUUCCCAUUGAGGCGGCCUAACAAUGGAGUCUUCCACAGUCGAUAGCGAUACUCCAACUUCAACGGUGCAGCACCCGUCCUUCACUCCUGGGUGAAGCAGAAACCAGAGAGACCAGCUCCAAAGAAGAGAUGUUCUCCCACCAAGAAAAAGAAAGGAGCUUGUGGACUUAACAAAAUUGAUGAACCUGAGGACUCCUCCGCUUGUUGUUCGGAUCCUGGUCUCGACACCAACAUGGCUAUACUUCAACCUGACCUGGCAACAUCCCCAUCACCGACUGCACUGCCAUCACAGACCACAUCUUCACCAUGCUUACCUGACAAACUUUUUACCACCACUUGUACAGAACUACUGAAACUGUCAUGUUUAUUGAAGUGGCAUUGUAUUUACAUGUGUCUGAAGGUUACAAGAACAUGUACAUGUUUUUUCACAAAUAAAAAAAAUGAUGAGAAGCAACUUCAAGGAAGUGUUCCUAACUUACAUGUAUUUUGGAAUUUUGGGUACUCUCAUGUAUGUAAUCUACUCAUACAUGAUCUAGUGAAAAAAUGAAUCAUGGCUACAUGUUUCAAUGAGAAGCAAAUGGUGGAAAACCAACUUAAACUAUACAUGGUUUAUUAGGAAUGAAUUAAAUAGUGUUACUGAACUGUUUUCAGUUUCUGAUACAUGUACAUACUGUUAACACACAUCUGUUUCCUAGUACAUGUACUAGUAGUAGCUCUUUCCUUUUGUACUCAAUAAACACUACAUUGUAUU